GUAAAAUAUAAAUCAUUUGAUUUAGAAGAAUUAAUAUAUAUUUAGUUGAGGAGAGAAAUGAGAUGUGGAAAUAUAUGAAUAUUUUGAUAUCUGAAACACCUGAAUGACUACUACUAUUAAUACUUGUGUACAAACAGAUCUUGGUUUGGAAACCAUUGAUUUACCAGGAAGUCCAGCAAAGUGACGACUAUCCAACAUAAACCAUACUGUACCUACGAUUUACCAUGUACCGUGAGCCGAUACCGGUGCGUUCGACUUUCUUCACAAACCGACGGAGCGAAAUUUUAAUGAGAUAGCUGGUAAAAGAUUUACUUUUUAUCAAGAACUAAAAGAUUUAUAAAGUAGUAUAUAGCAACUAAAGAACAUCCCAGGACACAUGGUGGUAAUCCGGAACAUACAGUAGAAAUCCAGGACAUACAGUAGAAAUCCGGG